rnacentral:rRNA from 1 species
UACGGGGGGGGGCAAGCGUUGUUCGGAAUUACUGGGCGUAAAGGGCUCGAGUAGGCGGCCAACUAAGUUCAUACGUGAAAUCCCUCGGCUUAACCGGGGAACUGCGUCUUGAUACUGGAUGGCUUGAGUUCGGGAGGAGGAUAGCGGAAUUCCAGGUGUACGCUGGUAGAAAUGACGUAGAUAUCGGAAGGAACGAUCAAG